GAUGAACGCUGGCGGCGUGCCUAAUACAUGCAAGUCGAGCGAACAGACCAGGAGCUUGCUCCUCUGACGUUAGCGGCGGACGUGUGAGUCACACGUGGAAACCCUCCCUAUCUGACUGGGCUAACUUCGGGAAACCGGAGCUAAUACCGGAUAAUAUAUUGGACCGCACGGCUCAUUAGUUAAUCACGGUUUUGCUGUCACUUCUAGUUGGAUCCUCGCCGCAUUAGCUAGUUGGUAAGCAAACGGCUUACAAAGGCAACGAUCCGUAGCCGACCUGCGGGGGUGAUCGGCCACACUGGAACUGAGACGCGGUCCAGAGUCCUACGGGAGGCAGCAGUAGGGAAUCUUCCGCAAUGGGCGAAAGCCUGACGGAGCAACGCCGCGUGAGUGAUGAAGGUCUUCGGAUCGUAAAACGCUGUUAUUAGGGAAGAACAAAUGUGUAAGUAACUAUGCACGUCUUGACGGUACCUAAUCAGAAAGCCACGGCUAACUACGUG
rnacentral:rRNA from 1 species